AACAAUCACCAAUUACACGAAUAGCUUUCCCGAUACUGGACCUUCACACACGAAUAGCUUUCCCUUUCACCUGACCGGACCUGGCUUCUCCGAUCCUCUGCCCCUCCACACAUGAAUAGCUUUCCCUUUCACCUGACCGGACCUGGCUUCUCCGAUCACGAAUACCUUUCCCUUUCACCUGACCGGACCUGGGUUCUCUGAUUCUCUGCCCCUCCACACACGAAUAGCUUUCCCUUUCACCAUACCGGACCCUGGCUUCUCCGAUUCUCUGCCAUUUCUUUUCCACGGCAAGACCCACGGCAAGACCUAACGAUCCUUUCACGAUACCGGACAUGCCUUCUCCGAUUAUCUGUCAUUUUUUUUCCACGGCAAGACCCACCGAUCCGACCCAACAGACCGAUCCUCUGCCUCUCCCUUUCCACGGCAACACCCAACAGCCCGAUACCGAUCCGACCCAACAGACCCAAAUCCAAUUCGCUCAAUUUCCACUCUUCCCCAGCCCAUCGCUCAAUGCAACCGACCCAGCCCGUCGAGACCGGCCCAAAGGUUUUUUUAUCAGAACCACAUGCACACAGAGAUAUAGUUUGGAAGGCACAAAGAGAGAGGCCGCAUACCCAUUACCCCAUAAUCGGUAAA